CCUACGGGUGGCAGCAGUAGGGAAUGUUCGUCAAUGGGCGCAAGCCUGAACGAGCAAUGCCGCGUGAAGGAGGAAGGUCUUCGGAGCGGAAAGGUCUGGUGAAGGGGAAAAAGAGCGGAGAGAGGAAAUGGUCUCCGAUGGAUAUUACCCUUCGAGGAAGGCACGGCUAACUACGUGCCAGCAGCCGCGGGAAUACGUAGGUGGCGAGCGUUAUCCGGAAUGAUUGGGCGUAAAGGGUGCGUAGGCGGCCUGCUAAGUCUGGCGUGAAAGGGACCGGCUCAACCGGUACAGGCUCUGGAAACUGGCGGGCUAGAGGGCAGGAGAGGGCGGUGGAACUCCAUGUGUAGCGGU
rnacentral:rRNA from 1 species